rnacentral:tRNA from 1 species
GGGUGAUUAGCUCAGCUGGGAGAGCAUCGCCCUUACAAGGCGAGGGUCACUGGUUCAAGUCCAGUAUCACCCACCA